rnacentral:rRNA from 1 species
CACGGAGUUAGCCGGUGCUUAUUCACAUGGUACCGUCAGUUGAACUAGAAAGUCCCUUUUUCGUCCCAUAUAAAAGAAGUUUACAACCCAGAGGGCCUUCAUCCUCCACGCGGCAUGGCUGGUUCAGACUUUCGUCCAUUGACCAAUAUUCCUUACUGCUGCCUCCCGUAGGAGUCGGGCCCGUGUCUCAGUGCCCGUGUGACUGGUCGUGCUCUCACACCAGUUACUGAUCGCAGGCUUGGUGGGCCGUUACCCCGCCAACUACCUAAUCAGCCGCACACCCAUCUUCAAGUGAUAAAUCUUUAAUAUCAUCCCGAUGCCGGGUCAAUAUACUAUGGGGUAUUAAUCCAAAUUUCUCUGGGCUAUUCCCCGCUCGAAGGAAGGUUGUGUACGUGUUCCGCACCCGUUUGCCGGUCGCCAUCAGUGUAUUGCUACACCAUGCUGCCCCUCGACUUGCAUGUAUUAAGCCUGCCGCUAGCGUUCAUCCUGAGCCAGGAUCAAACU